rnacentral:rRNA from 1 species
AGUAACGCGUGGAUAACCUGCCUCACACUGGGGGAUAACAGUUAGAAAUGACUGCUAAUACCGCAUAAGCGCACAGUACCGCAUGGUACAGUGUGAAAAACUCCGGUGGUGUGAGAUGGAUCCGCGUCUGAUUAGCCAGUUGGCGGGGUAACGGCCCACCAAAGCGACGAUCAGUAGCCGACCUGAGAGGAUGACCGGCCACAUUGGGACUGAGACACGGCCCAA